AUCUCUCUUUGGAGAUUGCUCUUUUUCAAGUCUUUUUGGCAAGCCCAGGACAUAGUAUUUGGACCAUCAAAGAGGAACUUGCUGACAAGAGUUACAUCCCCAGAUAGAAUAGGUGGGUGGAAGUCCACUUCUGUGCACACAGAUUCACAGAAUGGCUGAACUUGGAAGGGACUUCUGGUAGUCAUCCAGUCCAACACCCUGCUCCAGCAGGACAACCUAAAGCAGGAUGUCCAGACCCGUGUCCAGAUGGACAUAAAUUGUUUAUCAGGUGCAUUUCCUUCUAGCUAGCUGCAUUUAUAUUUGAAAGUAUAUUUGUUGCUUGGAACUUUAAACAGUAAUUUACCAUCAUGAAAGCUCUCUAUUCUGAAUCUGUGUCUGUGACUGAAGCACAUAACCAUACUUGGAAACAUUAAUGAUCUCUCAUUCUCCCUUAUUUCCUGGAUUUUGAUUUAUAGGAUCUAGAGCAAAUCUUAUUGUAGUAUUCCAUUUUCAAACAUGUUAGCUGAAAGAACUAGAAAAAAAAAAAACAGCUGGUUAUACUUAUUAAAUAAUCACUUCCAUCUUUCUACCAGCAUUAGUAAUCAUUUCUGUAAGAUGCUGCCAGUGCAAGUUUAAACAACUGCAAUGACUUAGAUUCUACCACUUCCUUCAGAAAUCAAACCACUGUCAGCUGGAAGCUAUCCUGUGGAAAUAUUCCAGAUCCAGGACAUCCUUUUGAGGCCACAGCUCCAUUAACAAACAUUUCACGUAUUCUCUGAAAAGCGAUUGCAUUAGGGUGUAACUACGCUUACAUGGCAGUAAUAAUAAAUUAGAAAGGGACAUUAUGAACUUUUGUAUGGGUUUCCUCUGUGGCGUCUCUUUCUAGAGAAAUAUAUGAGUAAAACAUGCAUGCAGGAGAAAAAAGAGAAAUGCUUUGUGAACUCAAAUGGGCAUCUGUUCCCAAAGUUGUGUUCUUUCUGAUUUCAUCAAUUUUAAAUUUGGCAACCUAAGUGUAGUUAACAGUUGUGCUUGUGUGUACGCCAGAGGGAAACAAUGUAUGCUUGUGUGAAAAGUUUUGUGGCAACAUAAACAAAGCUUGCCAGUAAAAAGGAUUGCCUUUCUCUGUGCUGCAUACUUUAUCCACUGUUUGUCUAGAAUUAAGUGUGCUUGGAAGGGGGUUGCACUUCAGGUACAACUCUCCAAGAUAUUCUUAUCUAUUCUAAUUCACGUGCAAUAUCUUUAAGCAGUAAAAUCUCUGGAGUCUUCAGUCUAAGUAUGAUGAUGUGAAUGUGUGUGCAAACUUCACUCUUGCUGGCUAGGUGAUCGUUGCUUUCCCUAUAUAUGAGAAGUUAGUUGGAAAUUAACCGAACAGCCUGAUCCAAAUCCUUCUGAAAUUAAUUAAAUGGGUUUCUAGUCACUGACAUAAACUUUGAAUGAAGCCACGCUGUUUUCUGCCUGUAGUAGUCUUUAGCCUUCCUUUGUAUUUAUGAGGUUACUUAUGCUUUAUGUAAAAAUGUUGCUGUAAUUCAUCACUUUCUCAGUUUUCUUAAUGUUUAAAUGUCUGAUAGUGUUGAAUAAAUCCAAUAUUACAAAAGUUCACCAUUUAAUGGGGCACAGCAAAUAUAGAGGUGUAAAUAACAGUGUUUAUUUUUCUUUACAAUUAAAAAAUUU
ensembl:lncRNA